AGUCGUAGCUGGGCGCUGGCCUGGGCAGUGGGACAUCAGGAAGAAAGGGAUUUGGUUGGCUUGAUACACGCCUGAAGCCACUCUCAUCUUUCAUCCCUUCCCUUUUUUGGUUUUGGUCUUGGUUUUCCUUCCCUCACAUUACUCCUGACCCAGUCGGGCCAUCAGGAAGAAAGGGGGAUUGGAAAUAGACUUCUUGGAGGGUGGAGAUUCUUUUAAUUUUCUCCUCUCGGUUUCUUCUUCCCUCUUCCCUCUUGGGUGGUACAGAGAGAAAAGGAGGGA
rnacentral:lncRNA from 1 species